GUGCCUAUCAAAGCCGGACAUGUUGCAUGUUCCCCUAGCCUAGCGCUUAUUGGGAAACAGAACCACAAAGGAAAAUGAGGAAAGCCUUCAAAUUGUAAACCUAUCCGGCUUAAUUUUUGGAUCUUCUUCGUCCCCUCCUUUAGGUUAAGAAGAAAGGAAUGAGAAAGAAUAACUGGGAAGCUCAAACCUUAGUCUAUAAUUAAGAGAGCCACUUUGGCAUAAGAAUUAAGACACCAGAUUAGAAAUAAGGAGACUGAGUUAUAGUCCCUCUUUAGGCAUGAAAGUUGCAUGGGUUGCUUUCAUGAGUUUCAACUUUUGUAACCUCUAAAUGCUUUGUGUGCUCCCCUCCCUCCAUGGAGGUUUGGCUAUAUCCACAGGACUGUUACUAUGAAAUAAUCCAGGAAUUAUGCUUGUGCAACAGCACUGCUUAGCGUGGUGGUUUCUCAUCCGGCAGAAUGAAUGCCUUUUUCCUCCUAAACAUUGUUGGAGAAAAGAGCAUACUAGUAAAUGGAUGAAUUCGUAACAUAUCUUGGUUCUUUCUAUUCUGUAUUACUUUAAAGUAAUGAAUGGAUUACUAGAAAUUACUAGAAAUUUGCAAAUUGUUGUGUGUGGUGUGUUAGUACUGUAUUUGUGAGAAAUAUUUUGUGAUGUGAAAUGGUUCAUCAUGAAUAUGUACUACAUGACAAUUAAAAUUAUUAUCUUUACCCCAAAAAGAA